ensembl:lncRNA
UGGCUAACCAAAAGACCAGGACUCUGGUCUCAACCCUGCCAUUGACUCACGGGGUAUCUGGGGCUUGGAGUACCAACAGGGACUUCCCUGGUGGCCCAGUGGUUAAGAAUUCACCUUCCAAUAUAGGGGACCUGGGUUCAAUCCCUGGUCCGGGAAGAUCACACGUGCCACUAAGCCCACAUAUCACAACUACUGAGCCUGUGAGCUUCAGCUAGAGAAAGGUGCCCAUGCCACAACGAAGAGACCACAGUGAAAGAGCCUGUAUGCCACCAUGAAGAUGCCGUGUGCUGCAACGAAGAUCCAACACAGCAGGUUUUCUCUGGUAUUGACAUUAGGGUCACAGAAGAUGCACAAAAUGCAUGCAGAAUCAGUACUGCAAAACUGCAGGGGAUGGACUGAAGCCUUUCUCGUCAUCCCGCACUCCAUCACGAAGUCCCGUCAUAAGAGAUGGUUCACGUGUGCCUUUUGGCUCCUAUUCGCUGC